rnacentral:rRNA from 1 species
UACUAAGUGUUGGAUGUCAAAGUUCAGUGCUGCAGUUAACGCAAUAAGUACUCCGCCUGAGUAGUACGUUCGCAAGAAUGAAACUCAAAGGAAUUGACGGGGGCCCGCACAAGCGGUGGAGCAUGUGGUUUAAUUCGAAGCAACGCGAAGAACCUUACCAGGUCUUGACAUACUCAUAAAGGCUCCAGAGAUGGAGAGAUAGCUAUAUGAGAUACAGGUGGUGCAUGGUUGUCGUCAGCUCGUGUCGUGAGAUGUUGGGUUAAGUCCCGCAACGAGCGCAACCCUUAUCGUUAGUUACCAUCAUUAAGUUGGGGACUCUAGCGAGACUGCCAGUGACAAGCUGGAGGAAGGCGGGGAUGACGUCAAAUCAUCAUGCCCCUUAUGACCUGGGCUACACACGUGCUACAAUGGAUGGUGCAGAGGGAAGCGAAGCCGCGAGGUGAAGCAAAACCCAUAAAACCAUUCUCAGUUCGGAUUGUAGUCUGCAACUCGACUACAUGAAGUUGGAAUCGCUAGUAAUCGCGAAUCAGCAUGUCGCGGUGAAUACGUUCUCGGGCCUUGUACACACCGCCCGUC